GGGAAUUUUCCGCAAUGGGCGAAAGCCUGACGGAGCAAUACCGCGUGAGGGAUGACGGCCUAUGGGUUGUAAACCUCUUUUUUCAGGGAGGAAUCAAUGACGUGUACCUGAAGAAUAAGCAUCGGCUAACUCCGUGCCAGCAGCCGCGGUAAGACGGAGGAUGCAAGUGUUAUCCGGAAUCACUGGGCGUAAAGCGUCUGUAGGUGGUUUAAUAAGUCAACUGUUAAAUCUUGGGGCCCAACCUCAAAAUCGCAGUCGAAACUAUUAGACUAGAGUAUAGUAGGGGUAAAGGGAAUUUCCAGUGGAGCGGUGAAAUGCGUAGAGAUUGGAAAGAACACCGAUGGCGAAGGCACUUUACUGGGCUAUUACUAACACUCAGAGACGAAAGCUAGGGUAGCAAAUGGGAUUAGAUACCCCAGUAGUCAA
rnacentral:rRNA from 1 species